GAGGAUGCGCGGACUUCGUUACAGAAGAAACUGCAGAGGCAGAACGGCCGCAAUGGUGCGUCAGGAUCAAAGUGGCAAAGCAAAGGAAGGGGUCACAAAGAGUCGGUUCCAGCUAUGCGCAUCCACAGCAAGCCCUCCGCUCGCGCAG
rnacentral:SRP_RNA from 1 species